UACGAAGGGGGCUAGCGUUGUUCGGAAUCACUGGGCGUAAAGGGCGCGUAGGCGGCUUUAUAAGUCGGGGGUGAAAGCCUGUGGCUCAACCACAGAAUUGCCUUCGAUACUGUAGAGCUUGAGACCGGAAGAGGUAAGUGGAACUGCGAGUGUAGAGGUGAAAUUCGUAGAUAUUCGCAAGAACACCAGUAGCGAAGGCGGCUCACUGGCCCGAUACUGACGCUGAGGCACGAAAGCGUGGGGAGCAAACAGG
rnacentral:rRNA from 1 species